rnacentral:rRNA from 1 species
GAUGAACGCUGGCGGCGUGCCUAAUACAUGCAAGUCGAGCGAACAGACGAGGAGCUUGCUCCUCUGACGUUAGCGGCGGACGGGUGGGUAACACGUGGAUAACCUACCUAUAAGACUGGGAUAACUUCGGGAAACCGGAGCUAAUACCGGAUAAUAUAUUGAGCCGCAUGGUUCAAUAGUGAAAGACGGUUUUGCUGUCACUUAUAGAUGGAUCCGCGCCGCAUUAGCUAGUUGGUAAGGUAACGGCUUACCAAGGCAACGAUGCGUAGCCGACCUGAGAGGGUGAUCGGCCACACUGGAACUGAGACACGGUCCAGACUCCUACGGGAGGCAGCAGUAGGGAAUCUUCCGCAAUGGGCGAAAGCCUGACGGAGCAACGCCGCGUGAGUGAUGAAGGUCUUCGGAUCGUAAAACUCUGUUAUUAGGGAAGAACAAAUGUGUAAGUAACUAUGCACGUCUUGACGGUACCUAAUCAGAAAGCCACGGCUAACUACGUG